rnacentral:rRNA from 1 species
AGUGAACGCUUAUGAUAUGCUUUAUACAUGCAAGUUGAAUAAAAUCAUCGUGUUUUUUAAGAAUAUUUAAAAUAAUACGUGAAAUUAUAGCGAACGGGUGCGUAAAACCUUUUUUUUGCCAACUAGUUUAGGAAAUUAAUUUUAGUCGACUAAAAUCCUAAAUAUGAAGUCUUUUUUAGAGAAGACGUGAAAAGAUAUACAAAAUUGCUAGUUGAUAAUAAAAGAAAGUAUUAGGUUGUUGGGUAAACCAAGCCGAAGAUGCUUAGUUAAUCUGAGAGGAUGUCUAACCACAUUGGGACUGAGACAAGGCCCUGACUUUUAAAGGCUGCAGUAGGGAAUAUUGGACAAUGGGGGAAACCUUGAUCCAGCAAAGUCAGAUGGUAGGAUGCCGACACAAGACAACUGUAUGAAUAUUAAAGGCGAGGUUGUAAAUAUCUUAUAAAAGAAGAGAUGAUGACUUUCUUUUAGAAUAGUCCCGGUAAACUUCGUGCCAGCAGCCGCCGUAAUAC